rnacentral:rRNA from 1 species
UUCCGGUUGAUCCUGCCGGAGGUCACUGCUAUUGGGGUUCGGCUAAGCCAUGCAAGCGGAGGGUGCGGUCGAAAGAUCGUGGCCCCGCACACGGCUCAGUAACACGUAGUCAACCUACCCUUGGGACGGGGACAACCUCGGGAAACUGAGGCUAAUACCCGAUAGGCGAGGGACGCUGGGAUGCCUCCUCGCCCAAAGCUCUGGCGCCCAAGGAUGGGACUGUGGCCUAUCAGGCUGUUGGUGGUGUAACGGACCACCAAACCUACGACGGGUACGGGCGAUGGGAGUCGGAGCCCGGAGAUGGGGACUGAGACAAGGCCCCAGGCCCUACGGGGCGCAGCAGGCGCGAAAACUCCGCAAUGCGCGCAAGCGUGACGGGGGGACCCCAAGUGCCGUUGGUCUUUCGGUCGACGGUUUUUAGGAAGUCUAAGAAGCUUCCGGAAUAAGGGCUGGGCAAGACUGGUGCCAGCCGCCGCGGUAACACCAGCAGCCCGAGUGGUGGCCACGAUUAUUGGGCCUAAAGCGCUCGUAGCCGGAUCAUCAAGUCCCUUGUGAAAUCGGGCCGCCCAACGGUUCGGCGUGCAAGGGAUACUGUUGGUCUUGAGGCCGGGAGAGGUCGGAGGUACUCCUGGGGUAGCGGUGAAAUGCUCUAAUCCUAGGGGGACCACCAGUGGCGAAGGCGUCCGACCAGAACGGACCUGACGGUGAGGGGCGAAGGCUAGGGGAGCGAAUGGGAUUAGAUACCCCGGUAGUCCUAGCUGUAAAGCAUGCGGGCUAGGUGUCUAGCGCUCCUCGAGGGCGCUAGGUGCCGGAGGGAAGCCGUUAAGCCCGCCGCCCGGGAAGUACGGCCGCAAGG